GACGAACGCUGGCGGCGUGCCUAAUACAUGCAAGUUGAGCGAUGAAGCUUGGUGCUUGCCCCAAUUUGAAGAGCAGCGAACGGGUGAGUAACGCGUGGGGAAUCUGCCUUUGAGCGGGGGACAACAUUUGGAAACGAAUGCUAAUACCGCAUAACAACUUUAAACAUAAGUUUUAAGUUUGAAAGAUGCAAUUGCAUCACUCAAAGAUGAUCCCGCGUUGUAUUAGCUAGUUGGUGAGGUAAAGGCUCACCAAGGCGAUGAUACAUAGCCGACCUGAGAGGGUGAUCGGCCACAUUGGGACUGAGACACGGCCCAAACUCCUACGGGAGGCAGCAGUAGGGAAUCUUCGGCAAUGGACGAAAGUCUGACCGAGCAACGCCGCGUGAGUGAAGAAGGGUUUCGGAUCGUAAAACUCUGUUGGUAGAGAAGAACGUUGGUGAGAGUGGAAAGCUCAUCAAGUGACGGUAACUACCCAGAAAGGGACGGCUAACUACGUG
rnacentral:rRNA from 1 species